UGCGCAGGCGGGCUUGUAAGUCAGUGGUGAAAUACUGCCGCUUAACGGUAGAACUGCCAUUGAUACUGCGAGUCUUGAAUAUGGUUGAGGUAGGCGGAAUGUGUUGUGUAGCGGUGAAAUGCAUAGGUAUGACACAGAACGCCAAUUGCGAAGGCAGCUUACUAAGCCAUUAUUGACGCUGAGGCACGAAAGCGUGGGGAGCGAACAGGAUUAGAUACCCUGGUAGUCC
rnacentral:rRNA from 1 species